GAAUUGAGACAUUGAGUUUUCCAGAAAUCAUCGUUCGGCUUUAUUUAACGCGAAGCUAUUAAAGAAAACUCCAGACGAUACAGAGUUCAAUCAAAAGUCAAAACUACGUAAGGAGGAAGGAGAGAAAAGAAAACUUAAGUGUGGCAAGAUGGAAAACGAAACAAUGUUGGGAGGGUCGAGAAUCUGGAGAAACUUCUGAACUUAACACUGAACAGGCUGAAAUUCUCUAAAUUUAUCGCUCAUUGGCCUACAAGCAACAAGGCAACAUCUGACGAUUCUGAUCUUGCAUGAAUGGAAGAGAACAUUUGGCACUCAUAAUUUGGUUAACUUUUGAAGAGAAAGUGAGGAGAAAAUACUCCAAGGAUCUCAUUCCUCCAACAACUAUGGCAGAUUUGUUCACGGUUUACCCUCGCCGCUGUUCGAUAGACUUUAUCAAUUGGUGGAAGAUGACAAGUGGUCGGCCGCGCUGAAAUUCAAGAUCGAUAAAUUAUAUAGAUGUUUAGAAAUUACAAGUGCAUAUCUGGACUCCCUUCUCAGUGGCCCCGUUUCCCUAAUUAACCACUAACCAGUCGCUGCGACAACCAGGAGGAAGGGAGUGGACUGGUCGAACAGGGACUUGCAAGGCGCAUGAUUCGAUGAAAUUUGUUGGAGGGUCAUGAAUCUAAGCCGGAAGCCUACUAAGAUUAAUCGCUCUCGUAAUAACUGUUCCUCGGCUCUCUUCGCUCUUUUUCCGGUUUCUUUGAACCAUGGCCGGGUAACCUCCCUUGUCGAGUCAGUGCGGGCAGUGUCUUCCCUUGCUUGACUGGCUGCAGUUUGAACCGGACGGUCUGUUAAAAUAAGAAUUUAAAUCUAGAACAACGCCUCCUUUGAGCGGCCCGGACAAUCCUGAAUCCUUUAGGGUUGCCAUUCCAUCGAGGCUUAAACGAGGAUGACGCGGAGGGGUUGCCCAUUGAGGGGUUUUGGUGACAAGGAGUCACUGAACGAAACGCUAAACCAAAUGAAAAAAUAAGAAAGCCAACGAUCCUUUAUAUAUCCGAGCCGAGUCCUUUCCGUCUACAUUCGGUAUGAAGAGUAAAACCUAAAUUUCAACA
rnacentral:lncRNA from 1 species